rnacentral:rRNA from 1 species
CCGCAAUGGACGAAAGUCUGACGGAGCAACGCCGCGUGAGUGAUGACGGCCUUCGGGUUGUAAAGCUCUGUUAAUCGGGACGAAAGGCCUUCUUGCGAAUAGUGAGAAGGAUUGACGGUACCGGAAUAGAAAGCCACGGCUAACUACGUGCCAGCAGCCGCGGUAAUACGUAGGUGGCAAGCGUUGUCCGGAAUUAUUGGGCGUAAAGCGCGCGCAGGCGGAUAGGUCAGUCUGUCUUAAAAGUUCGGGGCUUAACCCCGUGAUGGGAUGGAAACUGCCAAUCUAGAGUAUCGGAGAGGAAAGUGGAAUCCCUAGUGUAGCGGUGAAAUGCGUAGAUAUUAGGAAGAACACCAGUGGCGAAGGCGACUUUCUGGACGAAAACUGACGCUGAGGCGCGAAAGCCAGGGGAGCGAACGGGAUUAGAUACCCCGGUAGUCCUGGCCGUAAACGACGGGUACUAGGUGUAGGAGGUAUCGACCCCUUCUGUGCCGGAGUUAACGCAAUAAGUACCCCGCCUGGGGAGUACGACCGCAAGGUUGAAACUCAAAGGAAUUGACGGGGGCCCGCACAAGCGGUGGAGUAUGUGGUUUAAUUCGACGCACGCGAAGAACCU